GACGAACGCUGGCGGCGUGCUUAACACAUGCAAGUCGAACGGAAAGGCCCUGCUUUUGUGGGGUGCUCGAGUGGCGCACGGGUGAGUAACACGUGAGUAACCUGCCCGUGACUUUGGGAUAACUUCAGGAAACUGGGGCUAAUACCGGAUAGGAGCUCCUGCUGCAUGGGGGGGGUUGGAAAGUUUCGGCGGUUGGGGAUGGACUCGCGGCUUAUCAGCUUGUUGGUGGGGUAGUGGCUUACCAAGGCUUUGACGGGUAGCCGGCCUGAGAGGGUGACCGGCCACAUUGGGCCUGAGAGACGGCCCAGACUCCUACGGGAGGCAGCAGUGGGGAAUAUUGCACAAUGGGCGGAAGCCUGAUGCAGCAACGCCGCGUGCGGGAUGACGGCCUUCGGGUUGUAAACCGCUUUCGCCUGUGACGAAGCGUGAGUGACGGUAAUGGGUAAAGAAGCACCGGCUAACUACGUG
rnacentral:rRNA from 1 species